UACGGAGGGUGCAAGCGUUAUCCGGAUUUACUGGGUUUAAAGGGUGCGUAGGUGGAUUGGUAAGUCAGUGGUGAAAUCCCCAAGCUUAACUUGGGAACUGCCAUUGAUACUAUUUGUCUUGAAUACCGUGGAGGUGAGCGGAAUAUGUCAUGUAGCGGUGAAAUGCUUAGAUAUGACAUAGAACACCAAUUGCGAAGGCAGCUUGCUACGCGGAUAUUGACACUGAUGCACGAAAGCGUGGGGAUCAAACAGG
rnacentral:rRNA from 1 species